rnacentral:rRNA from 1 species
AGAUCGAGUCGUCCUGCGCGGAAGAUGUAACGGGGCUAAGCCAGUCACCGAAGCUGCGGAUAUCCUUUAUUGGAUAUGGUAGGAGAGCGUUCUGUAAGCCUGCGAAGGUGUCUUGUAAAGGAUGCUGGAGGUAUCAGAAGUGCGAAUGCUGACAUGAGUAGCGAUAAUGGGGGUGAAAAGCCUCCACGCCGUAAGCCCAAGGUUUCCUGUUCAACGUUCAUCGGAGCAGGGUGAGUCGGCCCCUAAGGCGAGGCAGAGAUGCGUAGCUGAUGGGAAGCAGGUUAAUAUUCCUGCACCGUCGUAUGAUGCGAUGGGGGGACGGAUCGCGGAAGGUUGUCUGACUGUUGGAAUAGUCAGUUUCUGUCUCAUAGAAGGUACUUAGGCAAAUCCGGGUACGCAAUUCAAGGGGAUGGGACGAGUGAAUUUAUUCACGAAGCAAUCGGAAGUGGUUCCAAGAAAAGCCUCUAAGCUUCAGUCAUACGAGACCGUACCGCAAACCGACACAGGUGGGCGAGAUGAGUAUUCUAAGGCGCUUGAGAGAACUCGGGAGAAGGAACUCGGCAAAUUGGUACCGUAACUUCGGGAAAAGGUACGCCCCGGUAGCUUGAUUGGUUUACUCCAUGAGGGUGAAAGGGUUGCAAUAAACUGGUGGCUGCGACUGUUUAAUAAAAACACAGCACUCUGCAAACACGAAAGUGGACGUAUAGGGUGUGACGCCUGCCCGGUGCUGGAAGAUUAAAUGAUGGGGUGCAAGCUCUUGAUUGAAGUCCCAGUAAACGGCGGCCGUAACUAUAACGGUCCUAAGGUAGCGAAAUUCCUUGUCGGGUAAGUUCCGACCUGCACGAAUGGCGUAACGAUGGCCACACUGUCUCCUCCCGAGACUCAGCGAAGUUGAAAUGUUUGUGAUGAUGCAAUCUACCCGCGGCUAGACGGAAAGACCCCAUGAACCUUUACUGUAGCUUUGCAUUGGACUUUGAACCAAUCUGUGUAGGAUAGGUGGGAGGCUUUGAAGCGGGGACGCUAGUUCUCGUGGAGCCAACCUUGAAAUACCACCCUGGUUUGUUUGAGGUUCUAACCUUGGUCCGUUAUCCGGAUCGGGGACAGUGCAUGGUAGGCAGUUUGACUGGGGCGGUCUCCUCCUAAAGUGUAACGGAGGAGUUCGAAGGUACGCUAGAUACGGUCGGACAUCGUGUUGAUAGUGCAAUGGCAUAAGCGUGCUUAACUGCGAGACUGACAAGUCGAGCAGGUACGAAAGUAGGACAUAGUGAUCCGGUGGUUCUGUAUGGAAGGGCCAUCGCUCAACGGAUAAAAGGUACUCUGGGGAUAACAGGCUGAUUCCUCCCAAGAGUUCAUAUCGACGGGGGAGUUUGGCACCUCGAUGUCGGCUCAUCACAUCCUGGGGCUGUAGCCGGUCCCAAGGGUAUGGCUGUUCGCCAUUUAAAGUGGUACGUGAGCUGGGUUUAAAACGUCGUGAGACAGUUUGGUCCCUAUCUGCCGUGGGCGUUGGAAAUUUGAAGGGGGCUGCUCCUAGUACGAGAGGACCGGAGUGGACG